CCCUUAGAGUUUGAUCCUGGCUCAGGACGAACGCUGGCGGCGUGCCUAAUACAUGCAAGUCGAGCGAUCCGGCACUCAACUGAGCGCCAUACGCUGUGGAGAAACCGAGUGGGCUUCGAGCGGUUCACGGACGGUAGUAUCCCGAUGUGGUCUGAGUUGAGUGCCGGAGAGCGGCGAACGGGUGAGUAACACGUGGGCAACCUGCCUUCAAGACCGGGAUAACUCCGGGAAACCGGAACUAAUACCGGAUAAGAGAGGCACCGCAUGGUGUAUUUUAAAAGGCGGCGCAAGUCGUCACUUGGAGAGGGGCCCGCGGCGCAUUAGCUCGUUGGUGAGGUAACGGCUCACCAAGGCGACGAUGCGUAGCCGACCUGAGAGGGUGAUCGGCCACACUGGGACUGAGACACGGCCCAGACUCCUACGGGAGGCAGCAGUAGGGAAUUUUCGGCAAUGGGGGCAACCCUGACCGAGCAACGCCGCGUGAGCGAGGACGGCCUUCGGGUUGUAAAGCUCUGUCAUGUGGGAAGAACGGCGGAGGGAGGGAAUGCCCUUCGCGUGACGGUACCACAGGAGGAAGCCCCGGCUAACUACGUGCCAGCAGCCGCGGUAAUACGUAGGGGGCGAGCGUUGUCCGGAAUGAUUGGGCGUAAAGGGCGCGCAGGCGGUUUCUUAAGUCUGAUGUGAAAGGCCACGGCUCAACCGUGGGAUGGCAUUGGAAACUGGGGGACUUGAGUGCAGGAGAGGAGAGCGGAAUUCCGGGUGUAGCGGUGAAAUGCGUAGAGAUCGGGAAGACACCAGUGGCGAAGCGCUCUCUGGCCUGUACUGACGCUGAGCGCGAAAGCGUGGGGAGCGACAGAUAGAUACCCUGUAGUCCACCCGUAACGAUGAGUG
rnacentral:rRNA from 1 species